rnacentral:rRNA from 1 species
GACAGAGGGUGCAAACGUUGUUCGGAAUUACUGGGCGUAAAGCGCGUGUAGGCUGCUUCGCAAGUCGGAUGUGAAAAGCCCUGGGCUCAACCCAGGAAGUGCAUUCGAAACUGCAGAGCUGGAGUCCUGGAGAGGAAGGCGGAAUUCUCGGUGUAGAGGUGAAAUUCGUAGAUAUCGAGAGGAACACCGGUGGCGAAGGCGGCCUUCUGGACAGUGACUGACGCUGAGACGCGAAAGCGUGGGGAGCAAACAGG